GUUGUAGCUCAGUGGUAGUGCACUUGCCCAGAACGCAUGAGGCACUGGGUUCCAUCCUUAGCACCACA
rnacentral:tRNA from 1 species